AGAGUUUGAACCUGGCUCAGGACGAACGCUGGCGGCGUGCCUAAUACAUGCAAGUUGAGCGCUGAAGGUUGGUACUUGUACCGACUGGAUGAGCAGCGAACGGGUGAGUAACGCGUGGGGAAUCUGCCUUUGAGCGGGGGACAACAUUUGGAAACGAAUGCUAAUACCGCAUAAAAACUUUAAACACAAGUUUUAAGUUUGAAAGAUGCAAUUGCAUCACUCAAAGAUGAUCCCGCGUUGUAUUAGCUAGUUGGUGAGGUAAAGGCUCACCAAGGCGAUGAUACAUAGCCGACCUGAGAGGGUGAUCGGCCACAUUGGGACUGAGACACGGCCCAAACUCCUACGGGAGGCAGCAGUAGGGAAUCUUCGGCAAUGGACGAAAGUCUGACCGAGCAACGCCGCGUGAGUGAAGAAGGUUUUCGGAUCGUAAAACUCUGUUGGUAGAGAAGAACGUUGGUGAGAGUGGAAAGCUCAUCAAGUGACGGUAACUAC
rnacentral:rRNA from 1 species